AGGCUGCAACUCGCCUGCAUGAAGUUGGAAUUGCUAGUAAUCGCGAAUCAGAAUGUCGCGGUGAAUACGUUCCCGGGCCUUGUACACACCGCCCGCCACACCAUGAGAGUCGAUAACACCCGAAGCCUGUGAGCUAACCUUUUAGGAGGCAGCAGUCGAAGGUGGGGUUGAUGAUUGGGGUGAAGUCGUAACAAGGUAUC
rnacentral:rRNA from 1 species